rnacentral:rRNA from 1 species
GCGGACGGGUGAGUAACACGUGGAUAACCUACCUAUAAGACUGGGAUAACUUCGGGAAACCGGAGCUAAUACCGGAUAAUAUUUUGAACCGCAUGGUUCAAAAGUAAAAGACGGUCUUGCUGUCACUUAUAGAUGGAUCCGCGCUGCAUUAGCUAGUUGGUAAGGUAACGGCUUACCAAGGCAACGAUGCAUAGCCGACCUGAGAGGGUGAUCGGCCACACUGGAACUGAGACACGGUCCAG